GAGCUUUAACUCCAUAUUGUGUUCAUAUACGUAUAUCUUAGACAUAUUAUUGUUGUACAUAGAUAAGGAGAGUGUAAAUUCAUGUCAACCAGUCGUGAAAUAGAAUGGAUCUAGUUUCCGCUUCAAAACAGAAGAGCGGGCCAGGAAAAGGAAAGAGGCAAGGACCAAUUUCUUGUGUCUACUCGAUAAAUUUCAAACGUCGUAUAAAACCUAAAAGAAGUCUUUGAUAUUGAUUUCAGUUCUUUAUGAAGCUAGAGGAGAAAGUGCAUGACAAAAAGGAAGAAACACGUCAGCUCCAAGCGAGAAAACAGGAAAAGAAGAAGCAGAGAUAAAACAGCUACGGAGAAAUCUCAAUUUCAAAGCAACUCCCAUGCCUGCCUUUUACCGUGAACCUGGCCACCGCUCAGAAAAAAACAAGGACGGACAGAUCUGGGAGGAUACAGGAGCAAGAGCUGUAGUCAGAGGCAGAUGGGGGAUGGACAGAGAGAGAGAAAUUCUAGAUGUUCUGAGGGCAAACACUGUUAUUUUCUGUGUUGAAACUAGGAGCUAGCAAGUAAAACUAAAUCACAAAGCAGUCCUUCGACUGCAGCAAGAGCUAGAGCUACUAGUCCAACUGAGAACACUGUUCGUUGUUUAAGGGCAGAAAUUUAUAAUAGAUGUUCCACUAAUGAAUGCCUAAAUAUGGCCGAUUCACCACAGGUUUCAGAAGUAACUAUUCAUCCUUCAGCAGAUUUAUCAUACAGCAACGUGCCUUCAGCUGCAACAAGCUAAACGUCCAAACAAACCCAAUCAAAUAGAACAGUAGCUCCAAAGAGAGAGCAAGAGAAAAGGCAGGUCGCGAAUU